rnacentral:tRNA from 1 species
GACUCCGUGGUGCAAAGGUAGCGCGUCUGUUUCCAGAUCAGAAAGUUGCGUGUAUAAGUCACGUCGGGGUCA